rnacentral:rRNA from 1 species
UACGUAGGGGGCAAGCGUUGUCCGGAUUUAUUGGGCGUAAAGAGCGUGUAGGCGGUUUGGUAGGUCCGUUGUGAAAACUCGAGGCUCAACCUCGAGACGCCGGCGGAAACCAUCAGGCUAGAGUCCGGAAGAGGAGAGUGGAAUUCCUGGUGUAGCGGUGAAAUGCGCAGAUAUCAGGAGGAACACCCGUGGCGAAAGCGGCUCUCUGGGACGGUACUGACGCUGAGACGCGAAAGCGUGGGGAGCAAACAGG